ensembl:lncRNA
CAUUAUCAUAUUUUGGCAAAAAGGGAAUUUUUUCCUGGAAGAAAAAAAGAAAAAAAAGAAGUAAAAUAACUGUGGCUGCAAGGGACCGGGGAAGCAAGAGAUGCUCUUCUACAUACGGCCCACAGCUGCUGCUGCCUUGUGCAGCCAGAAUCACCAAUAUUCUGCACAGAGCUGAAGACGUGAGCAAAGCUCAGAAAAAUAAUGGAAAUAAGAAGCAUCAGCUCUAAUAAGAAAGCACUGCGAGUCCUGAUGGAUUGAGAACAAAACCUUCCACGCAGGAAGAGAAAACAGCGCAGGAAAAUGCCCUUUCCCCCCAGCUGACAGAAGCACGUACACAGCAGGAAAACUGCAGCUUGCCCACGGCAGCUCUGUGUCCCUCAGCUCUGCUCCACUCUACAAAGUGAUGUCAUCAUGUGCUGCUUUAGUCCUGAGGUGCCUCCAAUGGCCGCUGUGCCAUCUCAGCUGCUCUUCAGAGCUUCUGCAAAUGAACUCAACAACUCACAAACAGAGGCCUAUGACUUCAGCUGAGGAGCAUGCAGCAGGCAUUGAUGAGCUGCCAAGCAACGAAGAUUUGGUUUCAGGGUGGAUGCAGAAGCCAGAUAGUGACAUUUUUCUUGGGUUUUUGUCUGCCCUCCUUCCGGUGAAUUCCCACUGAAGAUAAUUUGGGCUCCGAGAGAAGAAACCCCUCCCCGGGAACUUGUUAUUUCAGUAACAGCUGAGUAAGGCCCAUGGAGGUCUUCAGGCUUCAGACAACCCUUUGGAAGCAAUAAUAACAGCAAGGAAAGAAACAAGAUGGAAAGCAUGGCCCGUGGCCAUCGAUCUACCCAGGCAGUCUGCUGCUGGUGGCACUUCAGCUGGAUGCAAAACCAGCACGAAAAAAAACCACCAAACCACGAUCCAAGUACAAGGUGCCAACAAGUUCAUCUUUAAUUAGCAGUUAAUUAGUUGUUUUGCUCAUUCGUCAGAGCACGAAUGUUUCCCAGCUGUGUAUCUAAACAGUAUUCCUCAGCCUUUCAGGCCUCCCUGUGAUCCCUGCAUCACUGAACAGCCCUGGAGUUCCCUCCAUUCCCCCCGUGGGUGCAGUCCCGCAGCCAUGGGAGCUCUCAGUGGGGGCGAUGCUCUGCGGUGCCUCAGCUCCAGCCCUGCACUGUGCUCCCUGCCCAGCACUGCAGGGCUUUCCAGUCCUCCUACAUGAGAGAGCAAUGCUUUCUCUGAAGCGUCCUUAGGCAGCGUACCUGCCUGGUGAAGGAUGACUAUUCCUAAAUGGCUUUGCAGUCUUUUGAAAAACCAGUCAUGAAAUAAUUGAGUCAAGCUUUCGUGAAAUAGAUCUUAAUUUUAUUCUAUGGAUGUCAUAGAUCUGAAAUUCUCAAAUGCUGAUGAACUUCCGUACGAACGCUUUAUGAUACUGGAAGUUCCCAGUGCUUGCAGUGCAGUCCUGCAGCGGUGUGGUGUUGGCAUAAGAACAAAUGGGAGGAGAGCGUUAAGAGAAUGUAAAAUAAAGAUAACUCUGAAGUAAACCCAAACGGUAGCCAACCAAUUACCUUAUCAUUCCCACUUUGCAGCUCGGGCAGAAUUUAUUAGUGAUCAGCAGCUGAAUUUGGUGCACAAGAUUUGCCACAUUCUGGGUCUGCCUUUAAUUCUGAGUGGCCCACCUGGGGAGGGCUGCUUACAUCCAAAGGGAGAGCAGUACUUCUUGCUGGAGAAGGUAACUCCUAGGUUUUUCCUAGUAGCUGCAUGGCAGGAGCCACGUAGUGCAGCACAGCCCCCCGCCCAGGCUGCAGCUGCCCCCCAUCAGCCCAGGAGCACAGCCCUGGUGGGAUGCAGGCUGGCACAGACAGCACAGCCUGCAGCCGCUCACCCAUCACACUCCAAAAGGGCCUCACACAGCGCAGUGGGAGCCGCACAGCACUUCCUCCUCCCCAUGCACUUCCUGGUGCCCAGCCUGGUGAUGGCAGACAUCCCUCCUACAGUAUCCACCCCAGGCUGAGCACCGGG